AGUCUUAGUGGCGGACGGGUGAGUAACGCGUGGGUAACCUGCCAUAUACAGGGGGAUAACACUUAGAAAUAGGUGCUAAUACCGCAUAAGCGCACGGUGUCGCAUGACACAGUGUGAAAAACUCCGGUGGUAUAUGAUGGACCCGCGUCUGAUUAGCUAGUUGGUGAGGUAACGGCUCACCAAGGCGACGAUCAGUAGCCGGCCUGAGAGGGUGAACGGCCACAUUGGGACUGAGACACGGCCCAAACUCCUACGGGAGGCAGCAGUGGGGAAUAUUGGGCAAUGGACGCAAGUCUGACCCAGCAACGCCGCGUGAAGGAAGAAGGCUUUCGGGUUGUAAACUUCUUUUGUCAGGGACGAUGAUGACGGUACCUGACGAAUAAGCCACGGCUAACUACGUG
rnacentral:rRNA from 1 species